GAAACGCGAUAUGUAAUGUGAAUUGCAGAAUUCAGUGAAUCAUCGAAUCUUUGAACGCACCUUGCACCCUUUGGUAUUCCGAAGGGUAUGCCUGUUUGAGUGUCUUGAAUCUCUCACUCCUCUUUGUUUAUUCAAAGAGAGACUGGUCUUUGAGCCUUUGUGUCUGACACAAUCGCUUUAAAUGGAUUAGCGAUCUAUUGGCAGUGGUCCUUCGGGGCCCCUCCGCGUCGAACGUCAGCAAUGACCGGACGGUGAUCACCACAAGCGUAAUAAUUGUUUCGUUUGUGAGGUCUCUGUCUUGACCGGCGUGGAGUUUGCCAACAGAGCUACAAAUCUCCUUCGGGAAACACCCAUACAUCAGACCUCAAAUCAGGUAGGACUACCCGCUGAACUUAA
rnacentral:misc_RNA from 1 species